UGGGGAAUUUUGGACAAUGGGCGCAAGCCUGAUCCAGCAAUGCCGCGUGCAGGAUGAAGGCCUUCGGGUUGUAAACUGCUUUUGUACGGAGCGAAAAGGUCUGCCCUAAUACGGUGGGCUCAUGACGGUACCGUAAGAAUAAGCACCGGCUAACUACGUGCCAGCAGCCGCGGUAAUACGUAGGGUGCAAGCGUUAAUCGGAAUUACUGGGCGUAAAGCGUGCGCAGGCGGUUAUGUAAGCCAGAUGUGAAAGCCCCGGGCUCAACCUGGGACCUGCAUUUGUGACUGCAGAGCUAGAGUACGGCAGAGGGGGGUGGAAUUCCGGGUGUAGCGGUGAAAUGCGUAGAUAUGCGGAGGAACACCGAUGGCGAAGGCGAUCCCCUGGGCCGGUACUGACGCUGAGGUACGAAAGCGUGGGGAGCAAACA
rnacentral:rRNA from 1 species